ACGGAGGGUGCAAGCGUUAAUCGGAAUAACUGGGCGUAAAGCGCACGCAGGCGGUUUGCUAAGCUAGAUGUGAAAGCCCUGGGCUCAACCUGGGAACUGCAUUUAGAACUGGCGAACUAGAGUCUUGUAGAGGGGGGUAGAAUUCCAGGUGUAGCGGUGAAAUGCGUAGAGAUCUGGAGGAAUACCGGUGGCGAAGGCGGCCCCCUGGACAGAGACUGACGCUCAGGUGCGAAAGCGUGGGGAGCAAACAGG
rnacentral:rRNA from 1 species